rnacentral:lncRNA from 1 species
AAAGGGGAGGCUGGGAUUAAGUUUUGAGUUAAUUGCCCAAAAUAUGUAGGAAUUAGGGGCCAAAAAAGGGCCAAAAAGAAGCAUGAUUCUAGUUUCCAAACAAUUAUGACAAUAACUUGUGUUUAAGUGUAUGGAUCUCUCUAAAAUUGUACUACAAGGUUCAAUACUGCAAUGGAAAGCAUGGGAUUGAGUUUAAGGGUUAUUGCUCCAAGGGGGGUUCAAAAAGUUGGGGGGGAU